CAGUGUUUCAGCUCUUUGAACUGUGUCUUGCAAGGUUUUUUCUAUGUAGAAAACAAGUCUCCA
rnacentral:snRNA from 1 species